AGGUGGCUCAGUGGUUAAGAGUACUGACUGAUCUUUCAGAGGACCUAGGUUCAAUUCCUAGCACCUG
rnacentral:tRNA from 1 species